GAUGAACGCUGGCGGCGUGCCUAAUACAUGCAAGUCGAGCGAACAGACGAGGAGCUUGCUCCUCUGACGUUAGCGGCGGACGGGUGAGUAACACGUGGAUAACCUACCUAUAAGACUGGGAUAACUUCGGGAAACCGGAGCUAAUACCGGAUGAUAUAUUGAACCGCAUGGUUCAAUAGUGAAAGACGGUUUUGCUGUCACUUAUAGAUGGAUCCGCGCCGCAUUAGCUAGUUGGUAAGGUAACGGCUUACCAAGGCAACGAUGCGUAGCCGACCUGAGAGGGGGAACGGCCACACUGGAACUGAGACACGGUCCAGACUCCGACGGGAGGCAGCAGUAGGGAAUCUUCCGCAAUGGGCGAAAGCCUGACGGAGCAACGCCGCGUGAGUGAUGAAGGUCUUCGGAUCGUAAAACUCUGUUAUUAGGGAAGAACAAAUGUGUAAGUAACUAUGCACGUCUUGACGGUACCUAAUCAGAAAGCCACGGCUAACUACGUG
rnacentral:rRNA from 1 species